UAAACUUUGGUCUGUUGGCGCCUAUUAUUCUGUGUCCACCUGUUCAUUCUUCGAGCGACAAUGAACCCUGGGUAUUGAGGUAAAAAAUCCUGCAACCCCUGGGGCUAUACCUCCGAGAGGUGCUGCUUGGCCCCCUCCUACGUGGGUGAGGGUGCCAGCCUGGCACAUGAGGCACGCUCAGCAGCUUGGCCCUCAUUAACCCUGAAUCGACAACACUUAGAGCCAGUUAAUCUUAAGGAUUCAGUAUUCGCCAGUGCCAGGUUAUUCCCUUUAAGUCUCUGAAAAGAGAGGAAGGGGGAGGAGGCGUUUUCUCUUCUGAAAAACCUCACCGCAGGGGGCAGCUUGAGCAGGCUUCCUUCUACCUUUUGUAGGACUCCCAGGUCCCAGGCUGCUUGGAGCCACUCCUGUCCCUCAGGGGUUCCUUCACAGUUGCAAUGCAAAUAUCUCUGGCCCCAGAAUUUAUUCAGAAUGGUGCCUGCAAAGAGCUUAAAGGCUUUGAGGAAGGUGGGGCCCAGUGUAGGGACAUCUCUGACUGUUGACAGUUUGCAAGGAAAGAUAAAGGCAGGAAAGGCCACUUUACCUACUCUGCUGGCCCCAACCCCCCCAACCCCAUUUCUUUUCUUCUCAUUUCAUAGGUUUAUUACGGAAAACCACCACCACCUCCUAAUAUGCUACGUGCUGCCCAGGAAAGAGCCAUGACACGGACCCUGUUUGCAGAGACUUAUUCCACGGAAACAUCUUGUCUUGCACAGGCCGGUCCAGUUUGUGCUGACGGUCCUGAUCAAGGAGACCCAGGCUUCUGCUUUUACGCAGCAAGGCGGUGACAACCAGAAACAUGGGUUGAUUGGAGGAAAACCAAGACAAGCCUAAAAGAAGUCAAGCUGCACAACAGUGCAGACUGAAGUGCAGCACGGGGUCCCCGGUUCCUCCUCAGCCCUCUGAUGCUCACUGUGAUGGCUGCUUUUCACAAAAGCCUCCGCUCCCUGGCAGCCGGAGAGAAGCUUCGGGAAGCUGGUGUGGUAGGCUGGUCUGCGGAUGGCCCAGUGGCCUGCGUGGAACCUUUUUGGGUAUAGUAUGCUGAAGAGGUGGCCGCGUGGUGGGAGCAGCAUGUGACACACGGGGGGGGGGGGGUAGGUCACACUCACCUCUACUUCCAGCCCUGGCAGUGAUGGCUGGUAACUUGGCCUGGCUGCCUUCACAGGGGAGGAUUCUCGGAAUCAGGAAAGAUGGCCAAGCAGAGGUUUGGGCGGUUUGCUCCACUGGACUGAUCUGUGUUCAGAUCCCGCAGUGUUUGGAGAUCUCUGUACAAACACACACACACAUAUGACCUCUUCCUCUCUCUCCCACCCCCACGCCCCCCGCCCCCCCAGACACUGCCAUCCAUUGUGUUUUCUAUAUAACAAGCUCUCGACAUAUGGAUGGGAGGUGACCAUGUGGCAUAAUGGAACAAGGGCUGGUUUGGGAACAAUCAAACUCCGGUUCCAGUCCCCCCAGCUGUGGGAUUUACUAGCUGUGUUAGCUUGGUCAAGUUUCUUAAACUUUCUGAGUCUCGGUCUCCUUAACUAUGACAUGCGGUACUUGUGAGGAUUGAAAAUAACUCAGAUGAAAUAACUGGCCCAUAGCACCAGGUCUGGUCCACAGCAUCGGUCAAGAAAUGGGAAUCACCAGGAGCUCCUCAUCCUUACUCCAGCUCUAGCAUUAAGAACCUUUCAGUUGAGCGGGGAGGCUUGUGGAAGAGGAAAUGUACUCUCCCCUUGGCUGAGCGUCCGUGCCCACGGGCAAUCUUUUACUCACUGUCUGUUUUCAUAUUCACCCGUCUCAAUUCACCCAUCUCCACGUACUCCAUGGGGCCUGCGUGUGCCUGGACCCUGGCUGGCUAGAUGUUACUGGUUUACCAGGGGCCACGUGGCUCGGAGAGAGGUUUCUGUUCUUUGAGGUUCCUGCAGGUGGAUCCUGUUGAGAUUUAACGCAGGUGUUUGUCCCUCAGACACCGCUGAGGGCCCUCUCCUCUUUCUGUUUCUCGCUGUCCCUGAACAGUAAUAGGGUAACAUUUCUGGUCCCCGGAAAACAGCCUGCUCUUGGCGUGUUUCUAUUGUGCAUCAUCUAUGUUUGGCCUUGACCCUCCUGUGUUCUGCACUGUGAGCAGAAUAUCAAGUGGGCUGGAGAAGCGAGCCAGGCACUGCCAGCCCAGUGUGUGCAUUGUCAGGGGGAAUAUCAUGCUACGUGCACAGAAAAUAACUUCCUUUUCUCAUUUUAUAAAUUAGCUCAGCGAUCCCUGAGAUUAUGAGCCUUUAUUCCCAUAGACAGUGCUUUAAAGGGGAAAAAGAAACAAUAACAAUGGAAUCAGAAUACAGUUCUCUGGGCAGUUCCAAUCAGGAAGCGUGGGUAGGAAUACGGUCUAGAGAUUCUUACAGCACCCAAAAGCUCUCCAUCAUCCCCGAUCCCACUUUCUCUCCUAGCCUCACCCCUACUUCGGCUGCUUUAUCACAAAAAAGCUCUGAUGAAAGGCUUGUGAUCUCAGCUGGGGCUGCCGGGCUGGGGAGAAGAAAAGGGGUCCUCUUUCUAGAGGAGAAAGGUCGUGCAAAAUGCUGGAUUCCUGUGUCUGGGAGGCAGCCGACCAGCCUUUUCAGAUACAGGUUUGUCCUCUGUCAUAGAAUUUGUCAUAGAAGCAGUGACAAUUUUGUCAUAGAAGCAGUGAUAAUCAGAGCGAGGAAUGUAUAAAUCAUCUGGACCUACCCCUACAGACGAGGAAACGGAGACCCAGAGAAGGUAAGUGACUGGGCCGAGGUCCUCACUCAGCUGACGAGGGGCUGGCCUGGGACCCCCAUGAGCCUGACUACACUUCUCAAAGCAGAAGGGUUCCCAGGGGAGAAAAAGGCAUCUCUUUCCCAUCUCAUUUUAUUCCAAAGUACAAAACCCAUUCCUAUUUUUUCUUAAUCUACUUGUAAACUCUAAUGACUAGUUCUAGUGUUAAAUACUUCACAUAAUUUACUUAAUUAGCUAAUUGCUAACAAUGUGAAGUCAUUUUCUUUGACCUUUUAUAAUCCCCAUUCCUCCCACAGAAAACAAGGUCCUAUCAUCAGUGUUUUGGUGACAUUGGCAUAAAAAGUGAAUGGCUUGACAUAAAAGCAGAGUCUAGUUCUGGAAUGUCUGGCUUUCCUCCACUAAACACCCGGAGUAUUUGAAGGUUCAGAAAAGUAAGAAGAAGGAAGGCUGCCUCGAUUCCCUCCCUCUGAGUUUGCUACUUUUCCACCAUGGAAUCAUCAUGGUAUCACAAUAGGACUGUUGGAAAUGGCACUGACCAGGGAGUCCUUCGGGAUCUCCUCCUCAGGAAGCCUCAUGUACUCUGGUUCGGAGACGCUCAAGCCCGAGCCAACCUCACAAGCCCAGUUGACCUAAUUCAGUCUUCUGACCAGUGGAAUGGCAUCCAGCAUCACGUCCAGCUUUAAAAGCUUUCAGAAAAGAGACCUCCAGAGCUCCCAGACCUAUCACUGCACAAGGUACCCUGGACAUUAAAUUUUCGGAAAUCCGACAGUUUAACACAGUCUCCGGGUCAUCUGUUUGCUGGGGAGAAGGCAGUUGAAUACGGGUGUGAUGUAUGCCGAGACUGAGACAAAUGUCUUCCUUUAGGCAUCAAAACUAGGCAUCUGGGCUUUGUGGAGGGAUCUGCGGCGGCUCCCUGGGCUGGUGAAGGGCCGAAUCUCUGGCGCCUGAAGCCUGACUGGUCCCAGCCUCCACACCUCUGCACAGAGCGGUCCUCACAGUGAGCUGCUGAGCUGACAGCUGUCUCUUUCGGAGCCCUUUGGGUCUGCCGCCCCAUGCUGUCCCCUUGAGAGAGAAGCAUGGUGCUGUAUUGAGUGCAAUGCCCAUCACCCUGUAAUCUGGCUGUAUGAGUCCGAGUUCAGUCAAGGAAAGAGAGCAACCAUGUGUUCCACACGUCGUGACAUGACAAUAUAUCGUGAUCCUCAGAGAAGGAUCUGAUUAUCAUAACCCAAAACCCACAUUGAGUAAGCUAUGAACAAAUAUAUAAAUAAACAAAGAAACGUGCUGGAGUCAAAAGAAGAAGAAGAAGAAGAAAAAGAAAAAGAGAAGGAUCUGAUUAUCAUAACCCCAAACCCACAUUGAGUAAGCUAUGAACAAAUAUAUAAAUAAACAAAUGUGCUGGAG